GGUUUGCGGCACAUUCUGGCUUCUUUCGUGCUGCUCCGCGUGGUGACAGAAGCUGUAUUCGCUCCCACAUUGUCCGUCCAGUGCUCAUUCAAGCGCUGCAUGCUCCUCUCCACCUGAUGCACCCAAUGUCCCUCCGACCCACGCUGAUUGUCCGAAAGUGGGCAAAGGAUCAUUGAGCAGCAGCACUACGCCUGCUAACCUGCCAGAGGCCACUGCUGCUUUGCCUUUGGCUGAAUUCGCCUUGUUUGCUUUGCCUUGGGCUAAGUUUACCCGGUUUGGGUUUUUUGUGGCCUCUCCACAUUGCUAAUUUUUGCGUGCUUCGCUGUGGGCCUCCUAACUGGGGCAAGACAUAUUUUAACUGUAUGAGAGACAGGCCGUACUUGGGUCCUUUGUUCUUUUUGUUAAGCCGUUUGUCGGUGUGUUAUUAGUAUAGUUUUUGUUUUUAAAUAUGAUUUUCUUUCUCCUUUCUGUUUAGUUUUAUUUUAAACCAGUUUCUCUCAUCCACCCCCUCCUCCCAUUCAGGUGCUGAGUCUGCGGUGUGUCCCAUGUGGUGGUGUCCCUGUUAUGUUUUUGCAUGUUGUUGGACUUUGCUUUUUUUUGUUUCACGUGUGGUGCUCCUUCGGUCCCCUUUUCUUUGGACAGUCCAUCAUAAGUCUCAGCCCUGAUUGGUUCCCCCGUUGCUUGUCCCGGAGUGAGGUUUUUACCGUUGUCAAACCGUAAAUUGAAUUUAAUAAAAUGUAAUUUUUGUCUUUUAAA